rnacentral:other from 1 species
ACGGUUAUAGAUCAAGAUAUUGAUUUAUAAGCAUGGAAAUCCCCUGAGUGAAACAACGAAUUGCUGUGUGUAGUCCUUUGCCCAUCUCCCACGAUGGGCUUUUUUUCAC